AGGUCUGUCUUUGGAGGAGAUGAAAAGAAGUCUUCAAUACACACCCAUUGACAAAUAUGAUGUAACUUCAUAACCACAAAACAUAGGGCAUCCUUUGAAACAUUUGCUUUGACCAGAAGUCUUCCCUUUUGUGGCUAUGUAUCCGAUCCCAUGAGCCCAAUGCAUUUUCAUUCUUGCCGAAAUAGUAGCAGCUUUGAGGACAGCAGCUGACAGCAUUCGGCGUAUACCUAAGGAGAGUUUUUUCCCCGAACUGACAGCAACGAUUCCAACCACGGCAAGCUGGCUUCCAACUAUAACAUUUUAUUCUCAAAGGUCUCCUUAAAUUGGGCUUGUUUUUACUGGUCCUAUUUAAUUCCCCACUAUUAGCAGGCUUUGGAUUUGUGCCUAAGGAAUAAUAUGCAAAAGAACCAAGACAGAAUGUAUAUGAAGAAUUGUUUUUAAUUUUGUAAAUUAAAAAAAAUUUAGAUCGUUACUUGGAAAUGGAGCCUAAGUCUGUGGUGGACAGAUAAUAAUUAUGUUUUCCUGGGCUGAAUUAUGUAGACUUGUGUUUGACAGCUAUGGGUUUAUUUCUUAGAACAUUGUUCAUUUUCUUUUCUCAUUAUGUUACUUCUAGUGUUCACCUCUGUGAUUAAAGAUUCUUUGGUGAAAUAGAAAA
rnacentral:sRNA from 1 species